rnacentral:rRNA from 1 species
GAAGAUGACCAAAGUACAUUGGAUUCCCUUCAUCCUGUCAGAUCUCAGAAGCUAAGCAGAGUUGAGCCUGGUUAAUACUCGGAUGGGAGACUCCCUGGGAAUACCAGGCGUGGUAGACU